GGGUGGGUAGCUCAGUGGUUAGAGCUUAGGGCUCGUAACCGGAAGGUCUCGGGAUCGAAUCCCGCUAGAGACA
rnacentral:tRNA from 1 species